rnacentral:rRNA from 1 species
GGAUUCCCCUAGUAACUGCGAGUGAAGCGGGAAGAGCUCAAAUUUAAAAUCUGGCGGUCUUUGGCCGUCCGAGUUGUAGUCUGGAGAAGUGCUUUCCGCGCCGGACCGUGUACAAGUCUCUUGGAAUAGAGCGUCAUAGAGGGUGAGAAUCCCGUCUUUGACACGGACUGCCGGUGCUUUGUGAUGCGCUCUCAAAGAGUCGAGUUGUUUGGGAAUGCAGCUCAAAAUGGGUGGUAAAUUCCAUCUAAAGCUAAAUAUUGGCGAGAGACCGAUAGCGAACAAGUACCGUGAGGGAAAGAUGAAAAGCACUUUGGAAAGAGAGUUAAACAGUACGUGAAAUUGCUGAAAGGGAAACGCUUGAAGUCAGUCGCGUCUUACAGAACUCAGCCUUGCUUUCGCUUGGUGCACUUUCUGUAGGACGGGCCAGCAUCGAUUUUGACCGUCGGAAAAGGGUUGAAGGAAUGUGGCACCUCCGGGUGUGUUAUAGCCUUUGGCCGCAUACGGCGGUUGGGAUCGAGGAACGCAGCGUGCCGCAAGGUGGGGCUUCGGCCUACAUUCACGCUUAGGAUGCUGGCGUAAUGGCUUUAAACGACCCGUCUUGAAACACGGACCAAGGAGUCUAACAUGCCUGCGAGUGUUUGGGUGGAAAACCCGAGCGCGUAAUGAAAGUGAAAG